CAGGAUUCCUGAAAAUAUCAGUGAAACGACUUCACCGGCAGAGCUCGAUGAUAAGCUGAACAUGACCUUGAAAAAUGUCACGAAGGAGCCCAAGAAGAAAAAAAUCUUACCAGAAUAUGUCAAAUGCAAUAUCACUUUACCGAAAGAACUUGAUGAGCUGGACAUGUCCAUGAAAAAUGUCUCAAAGAAACAAGAGGUCAGAUUUAACUAAAGUGUAGUAACUAGUAUAGUAACUAUAGUAAGCCUAAACUGCCUACUUCAAUGUGCAGAAUAUGAUUACAAUGUUUAUUUUACCUGUUAUAUCUCGGAGGAAAAAAUCUUACCAAAAGGUGCGAUAAGCAACAAGAAUUUCCUGGGAGAGCUUGAGCUGGACAAAGUAAUGAAAAAUGUCUCAAAGGAGUCUGAGGAAAAGAAAAUCUUACUGAAGGAUGUGGUAUUCGAUAAGAUUCCUCUAAAAAAAAGCAAUAAAAAAUUAUUGGGAGAGCUUAUUGAUGAGCUGAACAGUGAAGUGAAACGUUUGUCAGAGAAUAGAGAGGUAAGCAUUAUAAGUGUAGUAACUAGUUUAGUAACUGUAGAAAUCCAAAACGGUCUAUUCCUUAAGUAGAAUGUGAUUGCAAUAUUUAAUUUA